UCACGCACGCUGGUGGCGUGUCUUAUACAUGCAAGUCGAGCGGGGCAGCAAUGCCCAGCGGCGCACGGGUGAAGUAACGCGUUAAGCAAUCUGCCCCAUAUCAGGAAAUACCCGUGCCAACGCGCGGUUAAUGUCCAGGAGCGUGGCCUUCCGCAUGGGAGGUUGACAAGAGAUUUAUCGGUAUGGGAUGAGCUUGCGUCCGAUUAGCUAGUUGGCGGGGCAACGGCCCACCAAGGCGACGAUCGGUAGCCGGCCUGAGAGGGUGAUCGGCCACAUUGGGACUGAGAUACGGCCCAUACUCCUACGGGAGGCAGCAGUAGGGAAUAUUGCACAAUGGGGGAAACCCUGAUGCAGCAACGCCACGUGUGGGAAGAAGCAUUUCGGUGUGUAAACCACUGUCGUGAGGGAAUAAGGCGUCUUCUCGGAGACGUUGAAAUGUACCUCGAAAGGAAGCACCGGCAAACUUCGUGCCAGCAGCCGCGGUAAUACGAGGGGUGCAAGCGUUGUUCGGAAUCACUGGGCGUAAAGGGAGCGUAGGCGGAAGCGCAAGCGGACUGUACAAUACCGGGGCCCAACCCCGGACCUGCAGUUCGGACUGCGUUUUCUUGGAUAGUUCAGGGGCAGGCGGAAUUCCUGGUGUAGCGGUGGAAUGCGUAGAGAUCAGGAAGAACACCGAUGGCGAAGGCAGCCUGCUGGGGACUUUAUCGACGCUGAGGCUCGAAAGUGCGGGUAGCAAACA
rnacentral:rRNA from 1 species